rnacentral:rRNA from 1 species
CAUGCAAGUCGAACGAAGUAGCAAUACUUAGUGGCAGACGGGUGAGUAACAUGUAGGUAUCUGCCCUUUGGCCUGGAAUAACACGAGGAAACUUGUGCUAAUACCGGAUAAGUCUUUACGGAGAAAGCUUUAUGCACCAUUGGAUGAGCCUGCACUUGAUUAGUUUGUUGGUAGGGUAAUGGCCUACCAAGACUGUGAUCAAUAGCUGAUUUGAGAGGAUGAUCAGCCACAUUGGGACUGAGACACGGCCCAAACUCCUACGGGAGGCAGCAGUGGGGAAUCUUGCACAAUGGAGGAAACUCUGAUGCAGCGAUGCCGCGUGAGUGAAGAAGGCCUUUGGGUUGUAAAGCUCUUUCGUCGGGGAAGAAAAUGACUGUACCCGAAUAAGAAGGUCCGGCUAACUUCGUGCCAGCAGCCGCGGUAAUACGAAGGGACCUAGCGUAGUUCGGAAUUACUGGGCUUAAAGAGUUCGUAGGUUGUUGAAAAAGUUAGUGGUGAAAUCCCAGAGCUUAGCUCUGGAACUGCCAUUAAAACUUUUCAGCUAGAGUAUGAUAGAGGAAAGCAGAAUUUCUAGUGUAGAGGUGAAAUUCGUAGAUAUUAGAAAGAAUACCAAUUGCGAAGGCAGCUUUCUGGAUCAUUACUGACACUGAGGAACGAAAGCAUGGGUAGCGAAGAGGAUUAGAUACCCUCGUAGUCCAUGCCGUAAACGAUGUGUGUUAGACGUUGGAAAUUUAUUUUCAGUGUCGCAGGGAAACCGAUAAACACACCGCCUGGGGAGUACGACCGCAAGGUUAAAACUCAAAUGAAUUGACGGGA